rnacentral:ncRNA from 1 species
GGCAUAUAAGCGGGAAGCUUGCCCUAAGAUUAGAUUUCCCUCCCUUCGGGGCUAAAGGUCCCUUGUAGACUACAAGGUUGAUAGGCUGGAUGUGUAAGUCCAGUAAUGGAUUGAGCUAACCAGUACUAAUAGACCGUGAGGCUUGACCAU